GCACCGGUAGUACAGUGGUUAGUAUACGGCCUUGCCAUGGCUUUAUAUCCAGGUAUUCAAAUCCCAGCCGGUGCA
rnacentral:tRNA from 1 species